AUUGAACGCUGGCGGCAGGCCUAACACAUGCAAGUCGAGCGAGCGGCGGACGGGUGAGUAAUGUCUGGGAAACUGCCUGAUGGAGGGGGAUAACUACUGGAAACGGUGGCUCAUAACGCAUACCAUCAGAUGUGCCCAGAUGGGAUUAGCUAUUAGGUGGGGUAACGGCUCACCUAGGCGACGAUCCCUCGCUGGUCUGAGAGUGUGACCAGCCAAACUGGAACGGAGACACGGUCCAGACUCCGACGUGAGGCAGCAGUGGGGAAUAUUGCACAAGGGGCGCAAGCCUGAUGCAGCAAGGCCGGGGGUGUGAAGAAGGCCUUCGGGUUGUAAAGCACUUUCAGCGGGGAGGCGUUACCCGCAGAAGAAGCACCGGCUAACUCCGUGCCAGCAGCCGCGGUAAUUC
rnacentral:rRNA from 1 species